GCUGGUCUCACACUCACACCGAUCCUCCUGCUGGGAUUACAGCUCCGGGCACCGCCAGCCACCAGCUCCCCGCAUCACGGACGGUGAGGACACCAGCGUUCACCAGGUGCCUGCAGGCCGGAAAGUUAGGAGAUGUGGCCACUCCGGGAACCGCCCUGCCCUCCUCCCCGUUUGUGUUUGAAGAGAAACGGGACAACAGCCUCAGCAAGAGGGGCGGGUAUGGAAACUCAGGUGGGACGGGUCUGCUACACCGCAGGGUCUCUGCUCCCGUUCCCGGGCUGGCCUCCCUCAGCUCCCCUUCCCCACGCAAAGCUUGCUCCUCAGACAGCUUCCUCGCAGAGGCCGCCCCGGCCACGGCCCUGGGACACCGCGAGGAAGAGGGGUCUUCUUCGGCCCUGCACUCCCCACCGCCCAGCUGCGCCUCCCUGCACGCAAGUGUUUGCUGACCCAGCCGAAGGAGGCAUUUAGUUCUUCCCACGCUUUCACGUCUACCAUGGGUCACAAGUCUCACGUGAUCUCCGCGUCCCUGAAGCCAAAGGUCUGCGUCAUCUGAUCCUGCUGGAAGCUAAGGUCCCCACAGGCUGGAAGCACUG